rnacentral:rRNA from 1 species
CGCGCAGGUGGUUUCUUAAGUCUGUCUUAAAAGUGCGGGGCUUAACCCCGUGAGGGGACGGAAACUGGGAGACUAGAGUAUCGGAGAGGAAAGCGGAAUUCCCAGUGUAGCGGUGAAAUGCGUAGAUAUUAGGAGGAACACCAGUGGCGAAAGCGGCUUUCUGGACGACAACUGACACUGAGGCGCGAAAGCCAGGGGAGCAAACG